GAUGAACGCUGGCGGCGUGCCUAACACAUGCAAGUCGAACGGAGUCCAGCCUUUAAGACCUUCGGGUCAAAGAGGGGAAGACUGAGUGGCGGACGGGUGAGUAACACGUGGGCAACCUGGCUCAUAGAGGGGGAUAACAGAGAGAAAUUUCUGCUAAUACCGCAUAAGCACACACUGCCGCAUGGCAGAGGGUGAAAAGAGAAUCGCUAUGAGAUGGACCCGCGUCUGAUUAGCCAGUUGGCAGGGUAAGAGCCUACCAAAGCGACGAUCAGUAGCCGAUCUGAGAGGAUGAACGGCCACAUUGGGACUGAGACACGGCCCAAACUCCUACGGGAGGCAGCAGUGGGGGUUAUUGCACAAUGGGGGGAACCCUGAUGCAGCGACGCCGCGUGAGUGAAGAAGUAUUUCGGUAUGUAAAGCUCUAUCAGCAGGGAAGAUAAUGACAGUACCUGAAGAAGAAGCCCCGGCUAACUACGUG
rnacentral:rRNA from 1 species